AUUAAAACGUUGAAGAGGAUAAGUAAUUUUGAUAGUUUGGUAUCAACAGAGAGUCGGGUUGCUGGAAGCCGACGUUACCAGAUCAAAGUGAACUCACCUCAGAGUGUCAUCCUGAAUUGAGUAAGGGUGGCCGAGUGUUAUUCCAACACACUCGUUAUCAAAACGAAUGUUUAUACAUUCAUGAGGUAGUCUUCGUGACUACAAAUGAGGGUGGUACCGCGUAAAGUACAAAAGACUUUUCGCCCCUUGA
rnacentral:ncRNA from 1 species